AUUAUGAGAGAAAGUCCGGGCUCCUUCGGAAAAAAUGCCGGAUAAUAACCGGGCAAUUCUUGGCAGCUGUAAAUUUAUUUGCAUAGCCCAAGAAUUGACAGAGAGUGCAACAGAAAAUAUACCGCCUCAAUUUUCUGAGGUAAGGGUGAAAAGGUAGGGUAAGAGCCUACCGCUUUUAUGGUAACAUAAAGGGCUUGUAAACCUCAUUUGGAGCAAAAUCAAGCAGCAGUCAGGUUUUUCCGAGCUGCGACUGCGGGUAGAUUGCUGGAAUUAUCUGGCAACAGAUAAUACAGAUAGAUGGUUAUGGUUGUGGUUACACAAUUAUCAGAACCCGGCUUAAUGUCCCAUUUG
rnacentral:RNase_P_RNA from 1 species